rnacentral:sRNA from 1 species
UAAACGCUAAUAAAAGUCUGUUAUUACUUGAGGGCUAGCAAAUAAAUCUCAUGUAACAAAAAAUUUCGAAAUUUUAAAAGCAAAUCUGCCAACAAAAAAUCUGUUAUUACUAAAAAGGUUAUUCUAGUCAUAAACAAAUCGGCCAUAACAUUGACAUGAGUAAAUCUGUUAUGCUUUGACACUGAAAAACAAAACAGUCAUCACUAAACACAAAUCUGUUAUCACUAUAUGACUGUCUAGUAAUUUUAUUUUUU